AAACUUGAGAGUUUGAUCCUGGCUCAGAACGAACGCUGGCGGCAGGCUUAACACAUGCAAGUCGAACGCGUGUAGCAAUACACGAGUGGCGCACGGGUGAGUAACGCGUGGAUAUCUGCCUUUUGGUUCGG
rnacentral:rRNA from 1 species